AUCGUAAGGGCAGCAGGGGCAGCCUUCAGUUCGAAUGGAUGUUCCCUUCUCCAGGACCGAUCCUUGUUUGAUUGCUGUUAAACGUGAAGUGUUUUUGUCUCAAUUUAUUUGUGUUCAGUUAUUGGUUGGACGUUAUCUAGAGAGAUUUACACAAAAAGCGCGUCAUGAAAAAUGCAUAUUCUGCAGGUGCUCUGUCAACAGCGCGGUUAUGGAGCUUCUGAUUACUCUCACAAACAAACGCGCACACAAUUAGUUUUUUUCGGAAAGUGUUUCACAAAUACCAUGACGUAACACGCAGGCACAUUACUUAUUUAAUUACAGGAUAAAGCCUUUCUUAAAGUUAUGGCCAACCCGAGGCAAAGGAGGAGUGGUGUAGAGCGGAAAUCGGACAGAGAAAGACGGUGCAAUGAUUGGAAUAUUCUGUAGGCCGCAAACGGGGAUUAAAUCGGACAAACGUGUCGGACAAGAUGGAUCCAUACUUUGCACGUUAACGCGUGUUUGUUGAAACUUGGUUUACAGCGUUUGUAUUAAGGCAGUGAACGGUGAUACGUUGGUGUACACCCGGCGAGUGAGCUGUGUCGUUUAAAAAAAACGUUUGUGGAAGUUUGAGUUUCAAGAAAGUCAAACAACAGAAAGACAUCAGGCUGCCUGUUGGAAAAAAAUGACGCUCCGGCAAGCGUUUUCCGAAACUGCUCCAAAAUUAAAUGGAGGGAAAAGAAGCAAACGCUAGCCCCCGACAAAAGGCCGGAAGACGGAGCUGGUGUGGGAUAAUGGACAGCUUCCUACAACUCGGGUGUGUGCGUGUGUGUCUAAUUGAGAAACUUGGUGCUUACUUCUGAGCGAAUCGCAUCAAAGAGGUGGAAAAAUAGAACGGAGAUCAUUCAGAACCACAAACCACAGAGACACAUUGAAGAACAAAGCAAGGGAAUUGAAGUUUCACUUGAAAUGACCAGCUACUUUUCCUCUCACCCCCGACCGGAAAUCAGUCCAGAGGAGCUGGAGCUAGCAGCCAGAUAAUGAAAAUCCGGCUAGACCAAACGAGAAAAAGAAGCCUGCAGAUGGUAACUGGAGAUAUAGCACAGAAGACAGCGGUCAGAGUCUCCACAGCUUCCUUGCUUAAUUUAACAGUUCCUAAGUUGCUGAGAGAGGACUUUGCAGUGGCAGGACCCUUGUGGAACAGACAGACUGUGGAAUGGAUUACCUACGCACCGCAGCAGGCUUUCGACAGUUGAAGAAUUGAUCUGCCAUUCAAAAUUAAGGUAUCCCCCAUUUUUACAGCUAGAAGAAGGUGGAAAGGCAUUGAUGUCCACAGAAAGAACAGCAUGUUCCCUCUGAGUUAAUGUAGAUACUGUAUACAUACUAGCUCGCCUGUUUCCCUUUAAACACAUCUAUGCAAUCCCCUUGAAUGGUCAUGCCAUUAUAAAAUAUAUGGCAUAUAUUUUACUUGUUGUGAGAGGUUUAUGUUUUCCAUUUGUGUUGCAAAGAUUUGCAUUUUUAUUAAGUAUUUGACAAAUGUACUACAACAUAGAUCUUGUUAACUUUUGCAAGCAAUACCUGGGGCAAUGUGUAGUUCGAGUGUUUUUUAUUUCAUGAUUUUGGAGAGUCCAGGAUAAGCUAGCUUAGUUGAUGUGUUCCUUUGGAAUGAAUAAUAAGGAAAUGUAACUGCGGACAUUGAGGUUAGUAGCCUGGCAGGAAGUGGAGUUAUUGGCAAGCCAUUACACUCCACUGCCAACAUUGUAUUCCACUGCAAACAACAAAUUAUUUCCUGUCAUGUGAUUUUACAAAUGCAGUGCUAGUUUCUUAGCUGACUGCAUUCAUUUUGAAUGCAAUACUAUUUGCUUUCUGUCUCGGUUCAUUGAAGUUACCAGUAGUGUCAUGUUAAAAGUUAAUUCAUGAAACUGUCAAUAUAUAGAAUUAUAUCCAGGAGGCACAGUUGGUGAGUGGAUCGUGAUGUACAAGGGUUUGAGAGAAUUACUCAUAAAAGUCAUGUGAACGUCAUUCAUUUUAUGUGCCUCCCACUGAUUCUCAUAGUGAAUCAGACACUUUAUUUAGUCCAAACCCCGCUGUCUAAAAGCAUUAUAAAGAUGAAUCAUUUUUAUCCUAUUUGCUGUACACUUCAACACUUCCCACAUGUAGCAAUAGGAUUAUUAGCAACAGCAAUGACCUGCACCGUUUUGUGUGUACUGGAGGCUUUAAGUAGAAAGAAGUGUGAAGUUUCAUGUGUGUUUGUUUGGACCUGGGAAUAUGGUGGUCAGUUUCAUGAUCCAGUGUUUUUCUACCCUAUGUCUGUCCUCUGGUGUCCAGUUAGUGUUUUUUUGAAGGCCCAAUAGUUCUAGUGCCUCAGGCCCAUGGUGAAGGAGAUGGGCCACUAGGUGUGUGUCUGUCCCAAAUUUAUAAAUGUUCCAUAAAUGCAUUUAUUUGAAUAUAUUUACACUUAACAUAAGUUUUAAACAAAGUUUAACCAACACAUUUCACUUGUCCCUAAGUAGAUUCUACAAAUACAAAUGUCUCAUGACUCAGCAAUAAUAAUACAUUUCUUUCAGAACUUAUCACUACACCAUAUAGUUUUAUAUUCCAUAGUUUUAGUCACAUUAUAAUAUGUAUUCACAUCUCUAUUACAUAUACAUUUCCCCAUGAACCAUUAGCUACAGCAAAUUUGUAUUUGUAAAAAAAGAUGUUGUGUUUUUGUAAUGUGCAUCAAUUCCCUACAAACUGCUAAUUUAAACUAGACUCAUUUAACCUGUGAAAAUAAAUUAGUGAAAAUCAGAUUUUAUUUAACAAUUACAUUCAUACAUUUUUCAUGAGGCCACCCCUGCUUGGUUCUUUGAUUUGAUCUACUCCAUCAAGCAUUUUAUCUUCCAGAAAGUUUGUUGUUUUACUUUGGUUCUUCCCAUGCAAACUCUUUUGAAACUUUUAAACUUUCAAAAUGUUUUUUUUUAUUUUUUGUUAUUAAAGUAAUGCAUUUAAUAAUGCUCUUUUUGAUAUAGCAAGAACUGAGAAACUGUGGAAUAUGUUUCAGUUCAGGAUGAUUUCUAAUUGAAGUUUAUUAGAUUGUUAAGAGAAAGUCAUAAAUCAUCAUGAACCACAGCACAAUAUAUUUAGAUUAAACACAGUCAAGCGUGGGAAAGCACUGGCUUCACAGUAAAUCUUAACAAAACACAUAAGUUCAAUGAGCACUCAAAUACCAAUGUUCCAAAAUAUUUUUUCCUCACAGUGAAUUAUAAUGGCACUCUAUUCCCAGCACACCCACAACUACAGUAAGUACCAUGCUAUGUUACAACACCUGCCCCAAUGAUGGGGCUUUUAAAUGUUGGCUUGAUAUGAUAUCCUUUUGUGAACAUUUCACUUAUGUUGAUGGGACUUGUUAGAGCUUCAUGAAGAGUAGAACAGUUGUGUUGCAAGGUACAGUUUUCUUGCUUGCUUGUCUCAUCUCCCUACACGCUCCCUACAUGGCUCUCUCAGCUCUUGCUGAAUUUUUAGAUUUUGUAGAAGACUCUUUUUAACAGCUUUUUCCAGAGUAUCAUUGUUAAAGGUCAUUAUCACAACUGAAGACAUGAGCUGGUACUUCAUGGAAAAAGCUAAGUGCUAUGAAUGAUUCAUUUAUCUAGCACCCCAUAUGCAAUGGCUUACUUCUGAAAGAAAAUUUGACUGAAAAUAAUAAGAAUAUCACACUUUUUUUCACGAUUAUGAUAA